GACGAACGCUGGCGGCGUGCUUAACACAUGCAAGUCGAACGGAAAGGCCCUGCUUUUGUGGGGUGCUCGAGUGGCGAACGGGUGAGUAACACGUGAGUAACCUGCCCUUGACUUUGGGAUAACUUCAGGAAACUGGGGCUAAUACCGGAUAGGAGCUCCUGCUGCAUGGUGGGGGUUGGAAAGUUUCGGCGGUUGGGGAUGGACUCGCGGCUUAUCAGCUUGUUGGUGGGGUAGUGGCUUACCAAGGCUUUGACGGGUAGCCGGCCUGAGAGGGUGACCGGCCACAUUGGGAGUGAGUACCGCCCCAGACUCCUCCGGGGGGCAGCGGGGGGAAAUAUUCCAAAAGGGGGGGAAGCCUGAUGCAGCAACGCCGCGUGGGGGAUGACGGCCUUGGGGUUGUAAACCGCUUUCGCCGGGGACGAAGCGUGGGUGACGGUAAGGGGUAAAGAAGCCCCGGCUAACUACG
rnacentral:rRNA from 1 species